UACGGAGGGGGCUAGCGUUGUUCGGAAUUACUGGGCGUAAAGGGCGCGUAGGCGGUCUGUCGCGUUGGGCGUGAAAGCCCUGGGCUUAACCCGGGAUGUGCGCUCGAUACCGGCAGGCUGGAGACCGGGAGAGGAGAGUGGAAUUCCCAGUGUAGAGGUGAAAUUCGUAGAUAUUGGGAAGAACACCGGUGGCGAAGGCGGCUCUCUGGCCCGGUUCUGACGCUGAGGCGCGAAAGCGUGGGGAGCAAACAGG
rnacentral:rRNA from 1 species